CUCGCCCUGUUUGUGCUCGCGGCUUACGCUCCGCGCGCAGCCUCCCCGCCGCAGCCUGCGAGUGCGCGGUGGGGCCCGGGCCAGGCGCUGGCCCCGGGACCGCCGACGGCGGCUGCGCGACCCCAGGGACGUGCGCCCAGGCCGGGUGGCCCCUGCAGCCCUGCGCGGUCCUCAGUCUUAGAGCACCCAGACCUUCCCAGCCCCCACCUGAGCCCUGGUGUGGAACCCCAGGCGUGUAUGGGGCCUGGAGUAGCACAGUUGGGGGUGGGGCAGGUGGUGUCGCUGCAAGAGGGAGAAGGAGCCGCCCAGGCUGCCGCCCAUGCCCCACCAGCGCUCGACCCGGGAGUCUGGAGGAGGAUAGUAGCUGGGAGCGCGCCAGCCCCAGACUUGGGAGACCUGGGAUGCAGUCACGUGACAACGGAAGCCGGGCAGAUGGGGCCAACUUCUGCGAUCCCUGGAGGAGCCUCCCAGCUCCUCGGCUCCCUUCCCUGAUCCCUUUCUUCACACCAGCCUGGAGACUCCAGGGACUCCCAGGGGUUGGCAAACCAAGCCCAGCCCUUUUGGAUAGCUUGGGAAACCCCUGGCAGGACGCCAGGGGUAGGAACAGCUGGGACACUAACCGGGUGGGAGCCCAGGGCAGGGUGGCGGAAGACGACCCCAACUGGAGCCUGACGCCUCCCUUUGUCCAGCCCCAAGGAUUUAUUCAGAGCCACGUUUUCUCCUUACCAUCCUUCUGCAGAAAGACAUCACUGAGUGCUAGUCCUGAAGGUUGCUCCGUCUCCAAACCAAGGAGGGAACAAAGGAUUUACAUGCCGAGCACCUACCCGGAUGGAAGGAGAGCCUAUCCCCCAUGUCUACCCAUCUCUCAAGCUCCACUUCAUAAAGCCUGCUUGGAACAGCGCCAGCCAAAUCUUAUUCCUCUCCCCUUCAAAUGCCCUACACACCAGGUUUGUACCUUUCUCAUGGCACAGCAUGUGGCUUGUUUUAUAUUCUAGUGAUCUGUUUACUAAUCCUGUUCCUCUAACCAGAUUAGAAAGUCCUUGAGGCAGAAACAAAGUCUGCUUCUUUGAGGCCUCCCCCAUCGCAGGAGCUCAUCCCCACAGGCAAAACUUGGCCCUGGAAUUGAUGUUCAAUAAAUGCUGGGUGUAUUGAAAUAAUUUCCUGCCCUUGGGCAGUUUGCAAGCCAGUUGAAGAGACAAACACACAGUGUGUGAGGUUAAAUAAUA
rnacentral:lncRNA from 1 species